UACGUAGGGGGCGAGCGUUGUCCGGAUUUAUUGGGCGUAAAGAGCUCGUAGGCGGUUCGCUAAGUCGGACGUGAAAUCUCCACGCUCAACGUGGAGGGGCCGUUCGAUACUGUCGUGACUCGAGUCCGGUAGGGGAGUGUGGAAUUCCCGGUGUAGCGGUGAAAUGCGCAGAGAUCGGGAGGAACACCCGUAGCGAAGGCGGCACUCUGGGCCGGUACUGACGCUGAGGAGCGAAAGCGUGGGGAGCAAACAGG
rnacentral:rRNA from 1 species